rnacentral:lncRNA from 1 species
GAUAAAGUGAAUAGGCAACAAGAUAGAUAAUAAAAAAUAACAGCAGCGUAUGUGAUGAGUAAAAAGAGUGCAAAAAGCAUCAGCUAUUUGGUUAACUAUUUAACUAGAGGUUAGAGUGUUGGGCCAGGAACCGAAAGGUCGCUGGUUUGAAUACCCGAGCCGACAAGGUGAAAAAUCUGUCCAUGUGUCUUUAAGCAAGGCACUUAACCCUAAUUUGCAUCAGUGGCGCUGUAAUACUAUGGCCGACCCUGUAAAACAACACAUUUCACUGCCAAUAGACAAUAAAACAUAUUAAAGCAACUGCAACAUUUUUUUUUGGGGGGGGUCUGGUCAACACUGGACAUGCCAGCAGUGUUUCACCAGCCUUUGCACAAGGCGGACAAGGGCUGGUGGACAUUGGGUCCAGAGUCACAGCUUUCUGCCUACAAGCUGCACAGAGCCUUUUUUACCAGCAGGGGGUGUGGUGAGACACAGCAUUGGCUGUUCUAAUGAGGUCAGGGGGCCUUGUAUUUGACAGGCACUUGUUUCUUUUGGAUGUGGAGCAGGUCGCUAUGUCAACCCUUAUGCCGUUCUACCGCGCUGUGCUUCGGGCAUGGAAAGAGACUCUUAACUGUUUACAGAGAUGUUUCACGGCCAGGAGCACGGCUAAUGGAGGAGCCACUGUUCUACAACCCACUCAUCCAGACCAGAGUGCUGACCUCUGCGAGAUUGCAAGCCAGACCUGUGAGAGCGGGGUUCACUAACUUGGGUGACCUGAGAGAGGAGGCUUCCUCCAUAAAGUUAUCCAGGCUGCUGCAGCAGGUGGUGGAGGGGGUCCAUGCUGCACUAGCGGGCUCCUUCAGAGAGCUGCUGGGAAACAGGCAGAGACUGGGCCGUUUAACCACUAAUUAAACUGAUCUGCUUCCUUUUACCACCUACCUCCUUUUUUCCCCAGCUGCUGCUGCUGCAGGGGAACACCAGGUGGGUGAGAAGAUUAUUUUAUCGUUCAGGACUGAGGGGAAUUUGUAUAGCCAGCAAAAAGGCUUUGUAUACGGUGGCUAUCAAGUUGGCUCAGAAGGACAAUUUGCAUGGGCUGAGAGAGCAACGGAGUGGCAGGGGGGUUUGGGACCGGGCACUUCUCUGAGAGGAUGUUGGCGCUCCCUGUAUAAGACUCCCAUAGAGAAGUGUAAAGCCGAUCUACAGGGGAGGAUUAUUCAGGAGUCUAUCGCUACGAACAGAUAUGUGACGGACCUUGAUUCAUCAGUGGGAAGGGGGGCUGACUUGGGACCUAUACAUUGGAGGGCCUAGGUUUAGUGUGGCUAACAGGCUAAGGGACUGCAAUGUAAACUACCUGUUGGGGCAGGCAAAAAUUGGCAGUGUGGAAGACCAGGAAGAAUGAGAUGAAGGGAGCGGGGUGUACGGACCCCAGAGCUAUGCUACUAGGGCUGGUGAACCAUCUGGGAUACUUUGUGGAGUUGUGGGGUGUCAGGGGGAUCUGUGUGCAGUGGACGAGGAGGGGUGGCUGGGUUUUAACUUUUUAGUACUGCUACAAUGUAGUAAAGAGUGUACUAAGGUGAUGUUAAUUAUUGAGCCGAUCAAGGUAUUUUUUUUUAUAAAAAAGUAUAUCUCUAUCCCUCCCUUCCUCCCUCCUUCUCCUGUCCUCCUCUCUCC